rnacentral:rRNA from 1 species
GAUGAACGCUGGCGGCGUGCCUAACACAUGCAAGUCGAACGAUGAAACCGCCCCCGGGCGGACAUGAAGUGGCGAACGGGUGAGUAACACGUGACCGACCUGCCCCCCGCCCAGGGACAGCCCCCCGAAAGGGGGAUUAAUACCUGGUACUCCGGAAGCGGCGCAUGCCGCCCCCGGGAAAGCUUUUCGCGGCGGGGGAUGGGGUCGCGGCCCAUCAGGUAGACGGCGGGGCAGAGGCCCACCGUGCCGACGACGGGUAGCCGGGUUGAGAGACCGACCGGCCACAUUGGGACUGAGAUACGGCCCAGACUCCUACGGGAGGCAGCAGUGGGGAAUUUUGCGCAAUGGGGGCAACCCUGACGCAGCAACGCCGCGUGCGGGACGAAGGCGUCCGCGUCGUAAACCGCUUUCAGCGGGGAACACUUUUCGAGGGUACCCGCAGAAGGAGCCCCGGCUAAAUACGUGCCAGCCGCCGCGGUAA